rnacentral:rRNA from 1 species
GACCUACCAAGCCAACGAUCUGUAGCUGGUCUGAGAGGACGACCAGCCACACUGGGACUGAGACACGGCCCAGACUCCUACGGGAGGCAGCAGUGGGGAAUUUUGGACAAUGGGCGCAAGCCUGAUCCAGCCAUGCCGCGUGCGGGAAGAAGGCCUUCGGGUUGUAAACCGCUUUUGUCAGGGAAGAAACGCUCUGGGCUAAUACCCUGGGGUAAUGACGGUACCUGAAGAAUAAGCACCGGCUAACUACGUGCCAGCAGCCGCGGUAAUACGUAGGGUGCAAGCGUUAAUCGGAAUUACUGGGCGUAAAGCGUGCGCAGGCGGUCUUGCAAGACAGAUGUGAAAUCCCCGGGCUCAACCUGGGAACUGCAUUUGUGACUGCAAGGCUAGAGUACGGUAGAGGGGGAUGGAAUUCCGCGUGUAGCAGUGAAAUGCGUAGAUAUGCGGAGGAACACCGAUGGCGAAGGCAAUCCCCUGGACCUGUACUGACGCUCAUGCACGAAAGCGUGG